GAGGGUAUAGCUCAGUGGAAGAGCACAUGCUUAACAUGCAUGAGGUGCUGGGUUCAAUGCCCAGUACCUCCA
rnacentral:tRNA from 1 species